rnacentral:rRNA from 1 species
CAGCNAUGCCGCGUGGGUGAAGAAGGCCUUCGGGUUUGUAAAGCCCUUUUGUCCGGAAAGAAAAGCUUUCGGCUAAUACCCGGAAGUUCUGACGGUACCGGAAGAAUAAGCACCGGCUAACUUCGUGCCAGCAGCCGCGGUAAUACGAAGGGUGCAAGCGUUACUCGGAAUUACUGGGCGUAAAGCGUGCGUAGGUGGUUCGUUAAGUCUGAUGUGAAAGCCCUGGGCUCAACCUGGGAAUUGCAUUGGAUACUGGCGGGCUAGAGUGCGGUAGAGGAUGGCGGAAUUCCCGGUGUAGCAGUGAAAUGCGUAGAGAUCGGGAGGAACAUCCGUGGCGAAGGCGGCCAUCUGGACCAGCACUGACACUGAGGCACGAAAGCGUGGGGAGCAAACAGGAUUAGAUACCCUGGUAGUCCACGCCCUAAACGAUGCGAACUGGAUGUUGGGAGCAACUAGGCUCUCAGUAUCGAAGCUAACGCGUUAAGUUCGCCGCCUGGGGAGUACGGUCGCAAGACUG